UCGAUGAGAUCUUUAUAACCACUCUUGUGACUAGGAUAUAUUUUGGUGGUUUAGCUAGAUGACUUUUGCUCCGCCGAUUGUUAGGAGGGUAUGCCGUGUAACGUUACCUGCUGAUGUGAUGACGUCCCCCGUCUCGGUCAGACUCCCGGUGGUCGUUUAAUCUGUGGCAGCGAGACUCACCAUUCACAUUCAGGUCAAAAGUUAAUGGUAUCAGAGCAAUACUCUCAAUUUAUUCACACUUCUGUAUUCUGUCGUCAGUAUACUUUUCGAGGUUCACUUUGGGCAUCCGCGUUCGCCCAACAUCCGUCUUUCUUCAGGACGUUGUCCUGAUGAGUUUGCGCAGUGUUAUCGGAGAGACACAAUUCCAGGCACGUUCAUCAGAGCAACGCCUGGACUGGUUCAGAAGAGGGCUCCCAAGGCAUCAAGACCCACGCCAUUGGCCGUUCGAUAGCCAAUGGGCUAUCAGCAAUGCUUUCACCACCGCGUUCGAGCCUUCGAGGAGAAGCAGUCUGCCUGCAGCAGUGCCGCGUCCAACCAGCUAGUUCGAUUGACUGACAGCGAGUUAAAUGCUACGCUACAUGUAAAUUAAGGAAGCUUGCUAACGAAUUAGAUAUGGUUUACGAGUAUAAUUACUUGUUUUCAGAUUAAAAAAUAGAGCUUAAGUUGCAUCAUUGACAUCGUCAAAGACGUACACACAUUGGUAUGCUGCGUUGCACUUCAUGAAAUCAAGAAAAAAACUGGCGACUUUGACAGACUGAGCAGUAGCCUACACUGGAAGAAAGUGAAGACAACUCAGUAAGUCUGCACAUUGGACAAACUGUCAAUGCCAUUUGGAGACUACCCCACUGGAAUAAGAGGUCAACCACCUCCGUACUCAACUGCCUGUCUCUGCCACCUCAGAAAAAGCAGUGUCUUGCAAAGAAACCAGUCAAGAUCCAGAGAUGGAGUCAAUUUAGCCAACCACAGGUGGAAGAGUUGUCUGGUUGUUGUUUUGACCUUUUCCAAUGGGUUUUGAGCAGAUCUCCAGUGCCCUGCCCUUUCUCUCUUUAUGGCCAUGUCUGAAGUUCCCUACUACGUCUAGGCUUUAUGGAGUAGUCCCUGUAUCUGUCUGCAGUUGUGCAAAAAAAUACAUGCUCUGGUUCUCUUACAGAUUACAGGCUACACAUUUAAUUGUUGUAUUUUUACACACACAAGUUAUUUUUUAAACAUUUUUACAACACAUACCUGUCAUGUUCUUUCCUGUACUUGAAUACUUAUUAAAUUCUAAUGUUUUCAUA